rnacentral:lncRNA from 1 species
UGAGAAUAUAUCCAAUAGUAAAUAUAUUUCUAUAAAGUUCAAUUUUUCAUAUUUAUUUUUAGAAAAAAAUUCUUCUGUGGUUUCGCACUUUUCAAUUUUAGUACACUGUGGUUUAAAGUGUAUCAAGUUAGUACCAUGUAGUUUCACACUUUCUCACUUUAGUACCAUGUGGUUUAAAGUGUAUUAAGUUAGUACCAUGUGAUUUUAUUUUUGUAUCAAGUUAGUAUCAUGUGGUUUUAUUUUUGUAUCAAGCUAGUACUCUGUGGUUUUAUUUUUUUCUUAAUGAAAUAUUAAACCACAGGGUACUAAAGUGAGAAAGUGCGAAACCACAGGG